rnacentral:lncRNA from 1 species
UAAUUUAUAAUAAUAAGUCAAUAAAGCGGUAAAAUCUUUUGAACCUCCCAAAUCUAUUUGGAAACUGUUUUUUGUUAGAAUGCUGCAUUCUUACACACAUGUGAAAUUGCUAAUUCCAAGUUGGAUAUUGCAGAGGACUGCUCAGAACUUCCAACAGAAUCAGAUAUUGAUGCAAAAAAAGGAAAACAAAAAGGUCAUUACCAGUUUUAUGGAAUGAAUUGUGUGAUUCAGAUUCCAAUUAUACAAAAUCUGAAAAUAGAAAGAAGUUUUCGGUAUCAAUUUCAACCUCAAACCUGGAGUUUCCUACUCCUCCUCAGUUGCAAUCCGAAAUUCAAAAUGGGCCUCUUCAAAAUGCAUCAUCUACUAUCUGCUCUCUCUCGUCAUUAUUUUUAAACAGUUUAUCCUUUACUUAAAAAGAACAACCAAACUACACUACCAUCAUCAAUAUUAACGCCAGUGCUUACUAUAGCACUGCAAGUAGAGCAGUUAUCACCUGAUUUGGUCAAUUGUCAUGUUGGAGAAAAUGAUCAUCGAAAACUAAUAUUAUUAGAAGAGAUUAAACAAAAUAAUCAAACUAUAAUUUUUCUUCUACAACAAGUAUCAGCACAACAGCAGCGUGGUAAUAUAGAAACAAGUUUUGAUGAGUUUGGGCUUCCUGUUUCAUUAAUGGAAUAUAUACAAAAACUAGAAACUGAUUGCCUUGACAAUGACCUCCGAGGA